ACAAAUCAUAAUUGGGGUGGUUUUGAUGAAUUUUUUCUCAUUUGAGAAGGAAUUUAUCAAUUAACAACACAACACACAUUUGUUCUCGUGACAAGUAAAAUUGUCAUGUUAACAAACAUUUGCGCUUGUAUUUGUUUGUCAGAUUGUAUUGGUUGGGUAAAGAUUAUGGA
rnacentral:misc_RNA from 1 species